rnacentral:rRNA from 1 species
UGAGGAAUAUUGGUCAAUGGGCGGAAGCCUGAACCAGCCAAGUCGCGUGAAGGAUGAAGGUAUUAUGUAUUGUAAACUUCUUUAGCAGUGGAGAAAUAAUGGGCUCGUGAGCCCAGAUGCUAGUACACUGAGAAUAAGGACCGGCUAAUUCCGUGCCAGCAGCCGCGGUAAUACGGAAGGUCCGGGCGUUAUCCGGAUUUAUUGGGUUUAAAGGGAGCGCAGGCGGAGGAUCAAGCCAGCCGUCAAAUAGCGGUGCUCAACACCGUCCAGCGGUUGGAACUGGUUCCCUUGAUUGCGGGAGAAGAAGGCGGAACUCGUGGUGUAGCGGUGAAAUGCAUAGAUAUCACGAAGAACUCCGAUUGCGAAGGCAGCCUUCCGGCCCGCCAAUGACGCUCAUGCUCGAAGGCGCGGGUAUCAAACAGGAUUAGAUACCCUGGUAGU